GAGAAGAAGAAGGUUAGCGAAUACAUGAUAACAAAUCCAAUUCGGUUGUCUGGUAGAGUCCAAUGAUGGUAAGGUAUUGCCAAAGCAAACAUGAACACUGUCAUGAAGAAGAAUCCCAUCAAUUGGAUGGCAAAUCUUCCCAUUUUGUCAAUGAAAGCCACUGUGAACCAGUACCCUGAUACCCUGGAACCGUGGUGCAAAGAGCAAUAAGAGUUUGUGCUCUAGCAAUUCUGUAGACCUCUUCAAUGGCAUUCAGGGUUUGACCCUGAGGAAUCCACCCAAUAGCACUGAAAAUA
rnacentral:misc_RNA from 1 species